UACGUAGGGGGCUAGCGUUGUCCGGAUUUAUUGGGCGUAAAGAGCGCGUAGGCGGCCGAGUAAGUCCGACGUGAAAUCUGGAGGCUCAACCUCCAGCGGUCGUUGGAAACUACUCGGCUAGAGACCGGAAGAGGAGAGUGGAAUUCCUGGUGUAGCGGUGAAAUGCGCAGAUAUCAGGAAGAACACCGAUGGCGAAAGCAGCUCUCUGGGACGGUACUGACGCUGAGGCGCGAAAGCGUGGGGAGCGAACAGG
rnacentral:rRNA from 1 species